AAUACCGCAAAAACCUAAACCCGCGGACCCAUUUUCAACACGAACCAACCUCACCUGCGACCCUAAACCCGAUUGUCACAACCAACAACCAAUACCAACCCUUUUGUAGCCUCCUUCACGCAUCCCACGUAAGUUCAUGUGAAGAAAUCCCUCAAAUCUUCUAGAAAUAAGUCGAGGUGUCCUCUCAAUGUAUCAAUUCUGCGAAUCUCGGGUAUGGAAGUACAAUUCCGUACAUGUAUGUCACAAUUGGCUUAUGGUGAAAAUCUAUUUUGCCUAAAUCUUAUUGGUCCACCGAUUUGGAAAUCAGUACAAUUUGUUGAGGGAACGCAAUUGGGAGUUAAAAAUUUUUGAAUUCUCUUUGGAAAAGGAAUCCCUAAAUUACUCUCAAUUCGCUUCUAUAUAAACAGCUCACUGUUGAGCUAAAAAAGGGGAUUUUUUUGGCUUCUUCCUUUUUGGAUUCGGGGAAAGUCAGGGGAUUUUCUCUUCUUUACAGGUUGGGGUUUGAAAUUUUGGAUGGUCUUUUGAGGGUUCGAAAUUGGGAGGAUUUUUUUUUUAGGACUGGCCUCUCCUUUCUGGGUUCAUAAUAUCGGAAGCAAAGGGAUUCGAAAGUCGAGGGGGUUGAGAAAAUUUGGAUUGGGGGAGUUCUUAGAAAAACUAGGUCUAAAGAGGGGGAAAAAAGUUAGCCAUUGUUCGAAGUAGCUACUAGGACUUUUUCCACUGGUGACGAAUCCGGUGAUAGCUCGAGUCCUGUUUUGCUGCUCACUAAAAGGCUGCUUGUAUGUUGUCAUGAUUGGCUUCAGGGUUUAAAGUUGCGUGCUUUGAUCGUUUUGGGUCGAUGGCGCCCUGUUCUAGCUUGUCUUAUUUUAAAGUUUCGUGUUUUGUUCUUGUUUUGAUAGUUUUUGAGCCGAGGGUGUUUUGUUCAUUGUUCGUAUUUAACGUUGUCUUGUUUGUCGAGACUUCCCCAUGAGUUCCUUGGCUUCCCAAAUGACAAAGAAUGAUAAGGAUACGCUCGACAAAAACUGACAAAUCCCAUGAUUCCUCGAUGACCAUUUUGGCUAUUAGAACUCGUUUGAGUUUGACAAAAGAGGAUGAGGAUGAUAGUAGUGCCCCGCCACUUUCUCUUUAGCUUUAUCUGCCAUGUUUUUUUUGUGUGUGGAUUUGAAUCUUUUAUCCUUCCUUGUCUCUUGAGCUUGUUGCCAGUACAUGAUCGGGUUUGGGAGAUGAAUGCAAUAAUGGGGUAUCUUAGUAUGUUUAUUUUGAAGGAAUGGCCUUAUUUUGUUCUCCUCAUGGAAAUGUAGUGUCACUGAUGUAUGUCUCUUUGAAUACCUACUGUCAAUGGAACUUGGAUUUAUAGGUCAAUUUCGAUUCUUUUCUAUGUUUCAAUCAAUCUCAUGACUAGAUCGUGGGGUUACGUUUAGGUAUGAAAUUCUCAAAACAACUUGCAAACAGUUUUCUCCUGUCUCAUAUAACAUGAGAGUAUCAUACAGUGUGGUAUAGAUUGGUUUAUUUGAAGCGCAUGACUGCAUUUCGAUUUUAGUGUUGGAAAUUAAUAGUGUUCUUGAUUUAAGUGAGACCCUCUUUGCUUUUGUUGAUUGGAUUGUCCUGUAUAAUAUACAACAUACAAGAAAAGAGGUGAAACGAACUUAUCUUGGUUCAUCUGUAGCAUAAAUUUAAGUAUCUAUUUUUGGGAAUUAUCUUCAGCUCUUCAGUUUUGUAUUCUAGUUGAGUGUUUUGAUAGCCAACUGAUAAAAUUUUCUUAGUUUCUAUGUAUUCCUUCUCAUAAGAAAGCACCGGAACCUAUCGUUUUGUCAAAAGGAAUAGAUUGCGAUUUACUAUUAAUGUACGAUCCUUUAACAAAUGUUAUUGCAUCCCUCUACUGCAACAAACAAAACAAACAUUACGUCCUAUGCUCUCAUCUAAUGGUCAUCACAUGCGAUUAGGAAAAGUGACCUUUUACUAGAAUUCUUUCAUGCAUAUGCAUACUUUCAUGCCAAAGUCCAGCAUAAUAUGGCGUGUUCUCUUUGAUCUCUAUGUUAAAAGUUCAAAACCAAUUAAACACAGUUGCAUGUCGUAUAUAUCACUAAUCUAGUAGCUAAGUUUCCUUUUAUUUAUCGAAGUAGUGAUUUUUUUUAACAGCUUUGAACUUUCUAAAUUUUUUUUGUUAUAAAAGUAAUUCAUUUUUAUGAACGCGUAUUAAUUCAUAUAUCUUUUCUUUGCAUGCACCCCCCUUGGAGCCCAAAUGGGUUCUUCUCUCUUUGGAUUUCAUAAAUGGGCCAAUGAGGCCUAUCUUUCCAAGUCAAGCCCGAAUGAAAGCCCAAAGUUGAGCACGUGGCAUAUGGAUACGAGAAGUCGAAAGAGGAAUAAUGGAUUAAAAUCCCAUCUUUGAAGCAGCCAAGGGAUUAGAAUGUUUCUUUUCUUUUAUUUGUUUAUUUAUUUUGUCGUCUUUUAUUUAUUUGCUUAUUUAUUUAUUCCUUUAUUUCAUUUGGCCUCGAAGCCAAAGUUGUAAAUUUAAUGCAGGUGGAGCGAGAUUCGAGCCAAAGGCUCGAAAACUAGACUAAGACAGGUGAAAUGGGUUGAAAACCCAACUAGAUUAUGACAAGGCCGAUGGUUUAUGCUUGAAAGCCUAAAUCACUACUUCCCCGCUUUUCUCCCCUUUUCCUUUCGUUUACUUAUUUACAUGUUCUUUGUGAACUUAGUUAAAAUCCCUAACUAAGUCGCCUAAAAAUUGGUUUUACAUAAACACUAAACUAUCACUAAAAUUGCUUUUGUUUUUUGCAGAAAUCAACUUUUUCCCAAAGUUAGUCAAAGACGAUUUUCAAACAGUCCAGAUAACCUCAAGUUAGCGGACGUUUUAGGUACCUAACACCUUGCUAAAAUGUUAAUAGGAACCACUUAUCUAGAGUCUCUAACUUAAAACGAUUUUCCUGUUUUGAAUCGUUUGAAGUAACUUUUAUAAAAGUUUUUUAAUUCCUUUUCAAAAUUAAGUGGCGACUCUCUUUCAAAAGUCAAAAUUUCUCCACAAAACAGAAAUAGCGACUCUGCUUGGGAUCUUUAACUAGGUUCUAACCAAAUGAUUGAUUUUGUCUUUUAAUUAGCUGAUUAUAUGUUUCGAUUCUGUAAAUUUCAACUAUCGGAUCCCAUCGCAUAUUCCUGCAUUAUUUAAACUGUUUUGGGGUUUCGUGGUUGUCCCGGCCCCUAUUAUUUAAUUCUAAUAAUGUGUUGGAAAUACGAAUGGCUUAUUAGCACGUGAGUCGUCUGAUGGCUGUUCGUAUUUUCAAACUCAAGUUGUUCACUUGAUAACCUUGUUCAAACCCACUCUAGACACCUAGGAUAGAACGAAAUCAAAAUCCUAUUUUAGGCAUGAGCCUAGGACGACCUAAUACUCGAGCGGGGUAUUGAGCCCACUAGAAAAUCUGUCCUGCGUCUAUUGACCUCGAGUCAAUUAUAGACGAACCAUACUUAUGUGUUGAAGAAAAUAUAUGCCUGUCUAAUUCAAUCCAUUAUCCUUUGGGGGUCAGGAAAAAGCUUGAUUUGCUUACUUUCGUAAGAAGAACUGAAGCAAGUUAAGCAAGAAAUUGAUCGAUUUGGGAGGCUGCAUCUAAGGCACAGUUUGAACGUCAACGGAUGUCACCAAUAUAAGAAAUGGGCAAAGCUAAGAGCGCGAAGGCCAAUAGAAGAAGCAUUCAGUAAUUAGUAUCCCCUACGUGGGAAAUUAUUCCCUUUCUCUAAAGAUUUUAUCCCUUUUGUUCAACUUUUGUAGACAUUUAUGUCAUUUAUGUAUACCUAUGAAGGUUUUUGAGGAUAAUGGAUUGGAUUUGAAAAGGCGUA